UACGGAGGGUGCAAGCGUUGACCGGAAUUAUUGGGUGUAAAGCGUACGUAGGCGGUCUGUCAAGUCGGAUGUGAAAUCCCCGGGCUCAACCGUGGAACUGCACUCGAAACUGGCAGGCUGGAGUCUUGUAGAGGGUGGCAGAAUUGCAGGUGUAGCGGUGAAAUGCGUAGAUAUCUGGAAGAAUACCGAUUGCGUAGGCGGCCGACUGGACAAAGACUGACGCUGAGGUGCGAAAGCGUGGGGAGCGAACAGG
rnacentral:rRNA from 1 species